rnacentral:rRNA from 1 species
GGUUGACCUCGGAUCAGGUAGGGAUACCCGCUGAACUUAAGCAUAUCAAUAAGCGGAGGAAAAGAAACCAACCGGGAUUGCCUCAGUAACGGCGAGUGAAGCGGCAAGAGCUCAAAUUUGAAAGCUGGCUCCUUCGGGGUCCGCAUUGUAAUUUGCAGAGGAUGCUUCGGGUGCAGCCCCCGUCUAAGUGCCCUGGAACGGGCCGUCAUAGAGGGUGAGAAUCCCGUAUGGGGCGGGGUGUCUGCGUCCGUGUGAAGCUCCUUCGACGAGUCGAGUUGUUUGGGAAUGCAGCUCUAAAUGGGUGGUAAAUUUCAUCUAAAGCUAAAUACUGGCCGGAGACCGAUAGCGCACAAGUAGAGUGAUCGAAAGAUGAAAAGCACUUUGAAAAGAGAGUUAAACAGCACGUGAAAUUGUUGAAAGGGAAGCGCUUGCAACCAGACUCGCUCGCGGGGUUCAGCCGGGCUUCGGCCCGGUGUACUUCCCCGCGGGCGGGCCAGCGUCGGUUUGGGCGGCCGGUCAAAGGCCUCCGGAAUGUAGCGCCCUUCGGGGCGCCUUAUAGCCGGGGGUGCAAUGCGGCCAGCCUGGACCGAGGAACGCGCUUCGGCACGGACGCUGGCAUAAUGGUUGUAAACGACC